rnacentral:rRNA from 1 species
UGCAAGUCGAACGAUGAAGUCCUUCGGGAUGGAUUAGUGGCGAACGGGUGGGGAACACGUGAAGAAUCUGCCCUCCACUUUGGGAUAACUCCGGGAAACCGGGGCUAAUACCGAAUAUUGAAACAUAAGUGGCAUCACUGAGUUUUGAAAGAAUUUCGGUGGAGGAUGACUUCGCGGCCUAUCAGCUAGUUGGUGAGGUAAUGGCUCACCAAGGCGACGACGGGUAGCCGGCCUGAGAGGGCGACCGGCCACACUGGGACUGAGACACGGCCCAGACUCCUACGGGAGGCAGCAGUGGGGAAUAUUGGGCAAUGGACGCAAGUCUGACCCAGCGACGCCGCGUGCGGGAUGAAGGCCUUCGGGUUGUAAACCGCUUUCAGCAGGGAAGAAGCGAAAGUGACGGUACCUGCAAAAGAAGCACCGGCUAACUAUGUGCCAGCAGCCGCGGUAAUACAUAGGGUGCAAGCGUUGUCCGGAAUUAUUGGGCGUAAAGAGCUCGUAGGUGGUUAGUUACGUCGGGUGUGAAAAUCUGGGGCUCAACCCCAGACCUGCACUCGAUACGGGCUAGCUAGAGUUUGGUAGGGGAGACUGGAAUUCCUGGUGUAGCGGUGGAAUGCGCAGAUAUCAGGAGGAACACCAAUGGCGAAGGCAGGUCUCUGGGCCAAUACUGACACUGAGGAGCGAAAGCGCGGGGAGCGAACAGGAUUAGAUACCCUGGUAGUCCGCGCCGUAAAC